ensembl:misc_RNA
UGCUUGUGCAUUUAAAUGGGUGUGGUGCUAAGUAUAUCUUGUUUACCUUAUCUUUCUGUGGAAAAGUUUUGAUGUCUAGGUUUGUCACAUCAUGCCUGUUGCCUAGCACUACCAAAAGAGUUCUUCUUAUCUAGCAGCAGAGUGAAUUAGUUUUUAAUUUUAAUUUGAA